GGAGAGUAAUGCAGCGGGGGUGGCCCGCGACCGGCCUUGAAAGCCGGGUAGCCGUUAUGGAGCUUGGGGUUCGAUCCCUCUGCUCUCCG
rnacentral:tRNA from 1 species